rnacentral:rRNA from 1 species
AGUCGAGCGGCAGCAGCUAAGUCGCUUGCUACUUUUGCCGGCCAGCGGCGCACGGGUGAGUAAUGCCUGGAAAAUUGCCCAGUCGAGCGGCAUAACAGUUGUAAACGACUGCUAAUACCGCAUCCGCUCUACGGGGGAAAGCAGGGCACCUUCCCCCUUGCGCGAUUGGAUAUGCCCAGGUGGAAUUAGCUUGUUGAAGAGGUAAUGGCUCACCAAGGCGACGAUCCCUAGCUGGUCUGAGAGGAUGAUCAGCCCCACUGGAACUGAGACACGUCUCCAUACUCCGACGGGAGGCCGCAGUGGGGAAUAUUGCACGAUGGGGGAAACCCUGAUGCAGCCAUGCCGCGUGUGUGAAGAAGGCCUUCGGGUUGUAAAGCACUUUCAGCGAGGAGGAAAGGUUGAUGCCUAAUACGCAUCAGCUGUGACGUUACUCGCAGAAGAACACCGGCUAACUCCGUGCCAGCAGCCGCGGUAAUACGGAGGUGCAAGCGUUAUCGGAAUUCUGUACGUAUAGCGCCGCAGGCGGUUGGAUAAGUUAGAUGUGAAAGCCCCGGGCUCAACCUGGGAAUUGCAUUUAAACUGUCCAGCUAGAGUCUUGUAGAGGGGGUAGAAUUCCAGGUGUAGCGGUGAAUGCGUAGAGAUCUGGAGGAUACCGGUGGCGAAGGCGGCCCCUGGACAAAGACUGACGCUCAGCUGCAAAAGCGUGAGGAGCAACAGGAUAGAUACCUGGUAGUCCCGCCGUAACGAUGU